CAGCCGCCACGGUAAUACGAAGGGGGCUAGCGUUGUUCGGAAUUACUGGGCGUAAAGCGCACGUAGGCGGAUACUUAAGUUAGGGGUGAAAUCCCAGGGCUCAACCCUGGAACUGCCUUUAAUACUGGGUAUCUUGAGUUCGAGAGAGGUAAGUGGAAUUCCGAGUGUAGAGGUGAAAUUCGUAGAUAUUCGGAGGAACAUCAGUGGCGAAGGCGGCUUACUGGCUCGAUACUGACGCUGAGGUGCGAAAGCGUGGGGAGCAAACAGGAUUAGAUACCCCGGUAGUCCCUGUCUCUUAUAC
rnacentral:rRNA from 1 species